CCUACGGGCGGCUGCAGUGGGGAAUAUUGGACAAUGGGCGAAAGCCUGAUCCAGCCAUGCCGCGUGUGUGAAGAAGGCCUUCGGGUUGUAAAGCACUUUCAGUGGGGAAGAAAGCCCUGGGGCUAAUACCCUCGAGGAAGGACAUCACCCACAGAAGAAGCACCGGCUAACUCCGUGCCAGCAGCCGCGGUAAUACGGAGGGUGCGAGCGUUAAUCGGAAUUACUGGGCGUAAAGCGCGCGUAGGCGGUCUGAUAAGCCGGUUGUGAAAGCCCCGGGCUCAACCUGGGAACGGCAUCCGGAACUGUCAGGCUAGAGUGCAGGAGAGGAAGGUAGAAUUCCCGGUGUAGCGGUGAAAUGCGUAGAGAUCGGGAGGAAUACCAGUGGCGAAGGCGGCCUUCUGGACUGACACUGACGCUGAGGUGCGAAAGCGUGGGUAGCAAACAGGAUUAGAUACCCGUGUAGUC
rnacentral:rRNA from 1 species